GCCGGGAGUGAUGGCCCAUGCCUGUAAUCUCAGCAACUCAGUAGGUUGAGGCAGGAGGAUUGCAAGUUCAAAGGCAGUCUCUGCAACUUAGCAAAGCCCUAAGGAAUUUAGCGAGACCCUGCCUCAA
rnacentral:sRNA from 1 species